GCGUCGGUGGUGUAACAGUUUAGCACAUACUCCCGGAAGGAGUAGGAUCUGGGUUCAAAUCCCAGCUGACACA